GUUGUCUGGAGAAGCGUCCUCAGCGGCGGACCGGGCCCACGUCCCCUGGAAAGGGGCGCCGGAGAGGGUGAGAGCCCCGUCGUGCCCGGACCCUGUCGCACCAUGAGGUGCUGUCUACGAGUCGGGUUGUUUGGGAAUGCAGCCCUAAUCGGGCGGUAAAUUCCGUCCAA
rnacentral:ncRNA from 1 species